rnacentral:lncRNA from 1 species
GAAUCCUUCUACUCUCAAACUCUCUCAAAUGUUCUUGAAACCCUAAUCGUCUUCUAUUGUCUUCUUUCUUAAGCACAUCGGAAUCCAUGGCCUCUCAGGCUAUGGAUGGCCUAAACUCAUCUCCCUCUGCUCUUAAACACUUGGUAUUCGAAGGUUCGAGGUUGACCUCGAAGGUGUACGUUCAAGUGUUUGCUGAUUCAAGGCUCUACGACCAUCUUUGGCCCUGCUCCGACAUACUAUGGUGUUUUGAGCCCGCUUUUGAC